UACGGAGGGGGCUAGCGUUGUUCGGAAUCACUGGGCGUAAAGGGUGCGUAGGCGGGUAUUUAAGUCAGGGGUGAAAUCCUGGAGCUCAACUCCAGAACUGCCUUUGAUACUGAGGAUCUUGAGUUCGGGAGAGGUGAGUGGAACUGCGAGUGUAGAGGUGAAAUUCGUAGAUAUUCGCAAGAACACCAGUGGCGAAGGCGGCUCACUGGCCCGAUACUGACGCUGAGGCACGAAAGCGUGGGGAGCAAACAGG
rnacentral:rRNA from 1 species